rnacentral:piRNA from 1 species
UACGAAGGCCGCAAUUUCUGGAG